rnacentral:rRNA from 1 species
AGUCGAGCGGAUCGAUGGGAGCUUGCUCCCUGAGAUCAGCGGCGGACGGGUGAGUAACACGUGGGUAACCUGCCUGUAAGACUGGGAUAACUCCGGGAAACCGGGGCUAAUACCGGAUAACUCAGUUCCUCGCAUGAGGAACGGUUGAAAGGUGGCUUUUCGCUACCACUUACAGAUGGACCCGCGGCGCAUUAGCUAGUUGGUGAGGUAACGGCUCACCAAGGCGACGAUGCGUAGCCGACCUGAGAGGGUGAUCGGCCACACUGGGACUGAGACACGGCCCAGACUCCUACGGGAGGCAGCAGUAGGGAAUCUUCCGCAAUGGACGAAAGUCUGACGGAGCAACGCCGCGUGAGUGAAGAAGGUUUUCGGAUCGUAAAACUCUGUUGUUAGGGAAGAACAAGUGCCGUUCGAAUAGGGCGGCACCUUGACGGUACCUAACCAGAAAGCCACGGCUAACUACGUGCCAGCAGCCGCGGUAAUACGUAGGUGGCAAGCGUUGUCCGGAAUUAUUGGGCGUAAAGCGCGCGCAGGUGGUUUCUUAAGUCUGAUGUGAAAGCCCACGGCUCAACCGUGGAGGGUCAUUGGAAACUGGGGAACUUGAGUGCAGAAGAGGAAAGUGGAAUUCCAAGUGUAGCGGUGAAAUGCGUAGAUAUUUGGAGGAACACCAGUGGCGAAGGCGACUUUCUGGUCUGUA